GGUUUACUUCCCUACCUCUUGUUCCUUUGCUUCCAUGCAGUUAGCAAUAAGAACUACAGGUGACUAUUUCUCUGCCUACUUGCAGCCAGAAUGAUUUCCUUGGGGGUUAUGUGCACAGUGAUACCUUCACCUAUGUCACUAGAAGAUCCUGUUCCUUAAUAUAAAAGGAUUUUUUUCCUCAUUUGUCAUACUGGAUGUUGAAAGCUGUGGAGACAUCUACAACCUGCCCUUCAGGUUCCAGUAGCUGAUUACAAAGAGAGUCUGACAGGGUCUUCAACCCUGUGGUGAUGACAGCCUGUAGAUGAGACCUUACACAAAGCAAGGCCGGGGGCCCUUCAAGCUCAUAGAUUUGUGCAAGUAUCAGGUGUAAUCUUGACCUGUACAUUUUGUGAUCA